rnacentral:rRNA from 1 species
UACGGGGGGAGCAAGCGUUGUUCGGAUUUACUGGGCGUAAAGGGCGGGUAGGCGGCCACCGCAAGUCAGUUGUGAAAUCUCUGGGCUUAACCCAGAAAGGUCAACUGAUACUGCGGGGCUAGAGUGUAGAAGGGGCAACUGGAAUUCUCGGUGUAGCGGUGAAAUGCGUAGAUAUCGAGAGGAACACCUGCGGCGAAGGCGGGUUGCUGGGCUGACACUGACGCUGAACUGCGAAAGCUAGGGGAGCGAACGGG